GGGCUCGUAACUCAGCUUGGCUAGAGUGGAAGGCUUUUAACCUUUAAGUCGUGGGUUCAAAUCCCACCGGGCCCGCC
rnacentral:tRNA from 1 species